rnacentral:rRNA from 1 species
UACAGAGGGUGCAAGCGUUAAUCGGAAUUACUGGGCGUAAAGCGUGCGUAGGUGGUUAGCUAAGUCAGAUGUGAAAGCCCCGGGCUUAACCUGGGAAUUGCAUUUGAUACUGGCUAGCUAGAGUUUGGUAGAGGGAAGUGGAAUUCCAGGUGUAGCGGUGAAAUGCGUAGAGAUCAUGAGGAAGACCAGUGGCGAAGGCGGGUCUCUGGACAGUUCCUGACACUGAGACACGAAGGCCAGGGGAGCAAACGGG